CACGUAGGGUGCGAGCGUUGUCCGGAAUUAUUGGGCGUAAAGAGCUCGUAGGCGGUGUGUCGCGUCGGCCGUGAAAACCUGCAGCUUAACUGUGGGCUUGCGGUCGAUACGGGCAUCACUGGAGUUCGGCAGGGGAGACUGGAAUUCUCGGUGUAGCGGUGAAAUGCGUAGAUAUCGAGAGGAACACCUGUGGCGAAGGCGGGUCUCUGGACAGUUCCUGACGGCUGAGGCACGGAAAGCCAGGGGGAGCAAACGGG
rnacentral:rRNA from 1 species